CUGGCGGCAGGCUUAACACAUGCAAGUCGAACGCCCCGCAAGGGGAGUGGCAGACGGGUGAGUAACGCGUGGGAACAUACCCUUUCCUGCGGAAUAGCUCCGGGAAACUGGAAUUAAUACCGCAUACGCCCUACGGGGGAAAGAUUUAUCGGGGAAGGAUUGGCCCGCGUUGGAUUAGCUAGUUGGUGGGGUAAAGGCCUACCAAGGCGACGAUCCAUAGCUGGUCUGAGAGGAUGAUCAGCCACAUUGGGACUGAGACACGGCCCAAACUCCUACGGGAGGCAGCAGUGGGGAAUAUUGGACAAUGGGCGCAAGCCUGAUCCAGCCAUGCCGCGUGAGUGAUGAAGGCCUUAGGGUUGUAAAGCUCUUUCACCGAGAAGAUAAUGACGGUAGUCGGAGAAGA
rnacentral:rRNA from 1 species